rnacentral:rRNA from 1 species
UACGAGAGGCCCAAACGUUAUUCGGAUUUACUGGGCUUAAAGAGUUUGUAGGCGGUUCGGUAAGUGAGAUGUGAAAGCCCUCGGCUCAACCGAGGAAUUGCGUUUCAAACUGCCGGGCUCGAGGGAGAUAGAGGUGAGCGGAACUGAUGGUGGAGCGGUGAAAUGCGUUGAUAUCAUCAGGAACACCAGUGGCGAAGGCGGCGAUCUGGGUCGAUACUGACGCUGAGGUGCGAAAGCGUGGGGAGCAAACAGG